rnacentral:rRNA from 1 species
UACGAAGGGGGCUAGCGUUGCUCGGAAUUACUGGGCGUAAAGGCGCACGUAGGCGGAUCUUUAAGUCAGGGGUGAAAUCCUGGAGCUCAACUCCAGAACUGCCUUUGAUACUGAGGACCUUGAGUUCGGGAGAGGUGAGUGGAACUGCGAGUGUAGAGGUGAAAUUCGUAGAUAUUCGCAAGAACACCAGUGGCGAAGGCGGCUCACUGGCCCGAUACUGACGCUGAGGUGCGAAAGCGUGGGGAGCAAACAGG